rnacentral:rRNA from 2 species
CGCUGGCGGGUGCCUAAUACAUGCAAGUCGAACGAACUCUGUAUUGAUUGGUGUUGCAUCAUGAUUUACAUUUGAGUGAGUGGCGAACUGGUGAGUAACACGUGGGAAACCUGCCCAGAAGCGGGGGAUAACACCUGAAACGAUGCUAAUACCGCAUAACAACUUGGACCCAUGGUCCGAGUUUGAAAGAUGGCUUCGGCUAUCACUUGGAUGGUCCCGCGGCGUAUUAGCUAGAUGGUGGGGUAACGGCUCACCAUGGCAAUGAUACGUAGCCGACCUGAGAGGGUAAUCGCCACAUUGGGACUGAGACACGGCCCAAACUCCUACGGGAGGCAGCAGUAGGGAAUCUUCCACAAUGGACGAAAGUCUGAUGGAGCAACGCCGCGUGAGUGAAGAAGGGUUCGGCUCGUAAAACUCUGUGUUAAAGAGAACAUAUCUGAGAGUAACUGUUCAGGUAUUGACGGUAUUUAACCAGAAAGCCACGGCUAACUACGUGCCAGCAGCCGCGGUAAUACGUAGGUGCAAGCGUGUCCGGAUUUAUGGGCGUAAAGCGAGCGCAGGCGGUAAGUCUGAUGUGAAAGCCUUCGGCUCAACCGAAAAGUGCAUCGGAAACUGGGAAACUUGAGUGCAGAAGAGGACAGUGGAACUCCAUGUGUAGCGGUGAAAUGCGUAGAUAUAUGGAAGAACACCAGUGGCGAAGGCGGCUGUCUGGUCUGUAACUGACGCUGAGGCUCGAAAGUAUGGGUAGCAAACAGGAUUAGAUACCCUGGUAGUCCAUACCGUAAACGAUGAAUGCUAAGUGUUGGAGGGUUCCGCCCUUCAGUGCUGCAGCUAACGCAUUAAGCAUUCCGCCUGGGGAUACGGCCGCAAGGCUGAAACUCAAAGGAAUUGACGGGGGCCCGCACAAGCGGUGGAGCAUGUGGUUUAAUUCGAAGCUACGCGAAGAACCUUACCAGGUCUUGACAUCUAUGCAAAUCUAAGAGAUUAGACGUUCCCUCGGGGACAUGGAUACAGGUGGUGCAUGGUUGUCGUCAGCUCGUGUCGUGAGAUGUUGGGUUAAGUCCCGCAACGAGCGCAACCCUUAUUAUCAGUUGCCAGCAUUAAGUUGGGCACUCUGGUGAGACUGCCGGUGACAACCGGAGGAAGGUGGGGAUGACGUCAAAUCAUCAUGCCCCUUAUGACCUGGGCUACACACGUGCUACAAUGGAUGGUACAACGAGUUGCGAACUCGCGAGAGUAAGCUAAUCUCUUAAAGCCAUUCUCAGUUCGGAUUGUAGGCUGCAACUCGCCUACAUGAAGUCGGAAUCGCUAGUAAUCGCGGAUCAGCAUGCCGCGGUGAAUACGUUCCGGGCCUUGUACACACCGCCCGUCACACCAUGAGAGUUGUAACACCCAAAGUCGGUGGGGUAACCUUAGGAACCAGCCGCCUAAGGUGGGACAGAUGAUUAGG